rnacentral:tRNA from 1 species
GCCGAAGUGGCGAAAUUGGUAGACGCGCACGCUUCAGGAGCGUGUGGAGCAAUCCUUGGAGGUUCGAGUCCUCUCUUCGGCACCA